UACGGAGGAUGCGAGCGUUAUCCGGAUUUAUUGGGUUUAAAGGGUGCGUAGGCGGAUCGUUAAGUCAGUGGUCAAAUUGAGGGGCUCAACCCCUUCCCGCCAUUGAAACUGGCGAUCUUGAGUGGAAGAGAAGUAUGCGGAAUGCGUGGUGUAGCGGUGAAAUGCAUAGGUAUCACGCAGAACCCCGAUUGCGAAGGCAGCAUGCCGGCUUCCGACUGACGCUGAAGCACGAAAGCGUGGGGAUCGAACAGG
rnacentral:rRNA from 1 species